GACAUAGGUUGCGAACGUUAUCCGGAAUUAUUGGGCGUAAAGGAUGCGUAGAUGGUUUGAUAAGUUAUCAGUGGUAAAUCGGGGCUCAACCUCGUGGAAGUUGGUAAUACUGUCAUACUCGAGUGCAGGAGAAGUUAACGGAACUCUAUAUGGAGCGGUAAAAUGUGACGAUAUAUAGAAGAACACCAAUAAGGCGAAGGCAGUUAACUAUUCUGUUACUGACAUUGAGGCAUGAAAGCGUGGGGAGCAAAACGG
rnacentral:rRNA from 1 species